rnacentral:lncRNA from 1 species
GGAAUAUUAAGUCUGUCCUGGUCACCUGCAAAGAGCAAUCUUUUCACACUGGAUGAGCUAUUCUAGGCCUAAAAAGUAUUUCCCUGCUUUAAGUCCCUACCCCACAGGAUCUCUGCUCAUGGUUAAAGAAAAGAAGUUGGGGCCGGGUGCAGUGGCUCACCUCUGUAAUCCCAGCAAUUUGGGAGGCUGAGGUGGGCGGAUCACGAGGUCAGGAGAUCGAGAUCAUCCUGGCUAACACGGUGAAACCCUGUCUCUACUAAAAAUACAAAAAAAUUAGCCGGCCGUGGUGGCGGGCGCCUGCAGUCCCAGCUACUCAGGAGGCUGAGGCAGAAGAAUGGCGUGAACCCAGGAGGCGGAGCUUGCACUGAGCCGAGAUUGCGCCACUGCACUCCAGCCUGGGGCACAGAGCGAGACUCCGUCUCAAAAAAAAAAAAAAGAAAGAAAGAAAAAAAGAAAAGAAGUUGAAGGAGAUGAACUGAUCUCUGGGAAUAGAGUCUGCCGCCAUCCUUCCUGCAUCAACCAGGGGUGCUCUUCUCAGGGAGGUCACGAGAAAUACUCACUUUUGCUGAUUCUGGAACCUAACAUCUUUCCGGCCGUGGAAAAAGAAAAAUACCUGAGAAGUAAGUGUGACUUGAAAAUAUUUAACAUCAAGCAUGACAACACCUGCCCUCAUGAAAAAUAGUUUUGCCUGUAUGUUCCAGCUGUAUCUUUCUUUGAGAAAAGAGUUAAAUACGCCUUCUUCCUUUGCCUAAGGCAAUACACCUGCAUGAACUUUUGUUACCAAAGUGUUGUAUCUCUCAUGCUUCUAAUCUCUUGACAGUUUCACUACUAUGCCCC